rnacentral:rRNA from 1 species
CAUACUAGGGAAUAGCCCGAAGAAAUUUGGAUUAAUGCUCUAUAGUAUCUUUUUAAGGCAUCUCAUUAAGAUUUAAGGUUACGGUAUGAGAUGAGUAUGCGUUCUAUUAGCUAGUAGGUGUGGUAACGGCACACCUAGGCUACGAUAGAUAGGGGCCCUGAGAGGGGGAUCCCCCACACUGGUACUGAGACACGGACCAGACUCCUACGGGAGGCAGCAGUAAGGAAUAUUGGACAAUGGGCGAAAGCCUGAUCCAGCCAUGCCGCGUGCAGGAUGACUGCCCUAUGGGUUGUAAACUGCUUUUAUAUAGGAAGAAAAACUUUCUCGUGAGAAAGCUUGACGGUACUAUAAGAAUAAGGAUCGGCUAACUCCGUGCCAGCAGCCGCGGUAAUACGGAGGAUCCAAGCGUUAUCCGGAAUCAUUGGGUUUAAAGGGUCCGUAGGUGGACAAAUAAGUCAGAGGUGAAAUCCUGCAGCUCAACUGUAGAACUGCCUUUGAUACUGUUUGUCUUGAGUUAUUAUGAAGUGG